UACGUAGGGGGCAAGCGUUGUCCGGAUUUAUUGGGCGUAAAGAGCGUGUAGGCGGCUUUACAGGUCCGUUGUGAAAACUCGAGGCUCAACCUCGAGACGCCGGUGGAAACCGUAAAGCUAGAGUCCGGAAGAGGAGAGUGGAAUUCCUGGUGUAGCGGUGAAAUGCGCAGAUAUCAGGAGGAACACCCGUGGCGAAAGGCGGCGUC
rnacentral:rRNA from 1 species